AACCGUGCGCGCCCGAGUCUCCCUUCUCCGCCGAAUUUCCCCGUGCCCUUUGCCCUAACCGCACGAGGCGGUCUCUUCUCCCCCAACCUCAUCGAUUUCCUCCUCUUCCCAAUUCUUCUCCUUCUUCUCCCGAAUUUCUUUCCCCUCUUCUGAUCUGAGCGCCGACGCCUCUCGCCAUGGAGAUCCCAGUCGCUCUUCACCUCCUGCUCGCGUCGCCCUCGGUCGCCACAGCCGACACCCUCUCCGAUCUCCUCACAGCGCCACCUUUUCUUUGCCCUAGCUAGCCAGCCGGUCGCCGAUCACUAGCCAUUGGACGCCGGAGCUUUCCUUUUUUUCCUUGGAUUUCUCUCCUUUGUCUCGGCCAGAAUUUCCCUCUACCCUAGCUCUCGGUCCACUGCCGAGAUGUACUGGUCAUCCCGAUCUGAGGUGCCACCUCUACACGAGUUGGGUUUUCAACCAGGGGCAAAGGGAUAUUGAUUUGGUGGACAGCAGCCGUUGGAGUUCAUACGAGGGGAAUAUAUGGAUCGGGACUGAUUCUUGGAGGUUGUUUGAUCAUGGUAACUCCGGCCUUGGAUCAGUGGUGGUUUGUCCCAAUUUGGGGACUGUGGUUUGAUUCCGACCAACAAGCAUGUGGAAGGAUUUUUGUGGUUACAGCCAUGAGUUUCCAACAGCAUGUCGUUGCAGCUCUUCAAUUUUGGAUCAACAGCAAUUCAUCUGUUGAGGUGAGUUUUUGUAUUGAGGAUUAGGGUUUCAGCAAAUCUUUUGCUGUAUGAUUGGAGUUUUGGAUUGUUUCUUGGAGGGAUAGGUUUGUGUGUGCUCUUGGAGCUUAUGGACAGGGAGUCAUAGGACUAUGAUUUGAGAUGAGCAUCUCAACGUUGGAUUUAACUGGAUUGGACCUGCAAUUAGAGGCGGGUACCUCUUGACUUAUCUUU